UCGUAUGAAGACUGUUAGUGACCCAUGGCCAGGCAGUCCACACACCUGACACCCUUAGAGUUUCAGAAUGUCUUUGCCUGAGGCUGUUGAUGGAGUAUCAGCCAGCAAGAAAUAGGCCAAAAGACUGCAAGGGGACGGACUGGUAGGUGGGGCAGCUGGAGCAUCUGCCCCUGGGCCCGGGCCCCCCCAGCUAUGUUGAGGGCCCCCCUGCGACUGUAAAUCUCUCAUAUGCAAAGCAUUAAUGAGGAUUAAGGUUACUUGAUGUACAGAAGAGAACAGCUGACGAUACAUUGCUGCAGGGAGCACAGCUGCCUCAGCAGGUCCACCUUGCGAACCAUUCCAUUCAUACCUGUGGACAUACGGUCGUGAACUUCCAAGAGC